CUCUAACUUGAGUUUUCUUUCAGCAUUUUUACUUUUUCUGUCUUUGUUGACCAGUUCUCUGCUCUCAUCAUCCAUUGGUAUAAGAUGUUAGAGGAGUUUACCUCCGAGAGAAAAAGCUACCCUGCCGACUCUGCUGUGCCUGAGUGGGUGAUUGUCUCCUCCCAGGUUUUUAACUUUCCAACUUGAUUGAUCAUUGAUCAUAAUAAGCACCUGUAAUGUAUGCAGAAAAUGCAACGGAGAUCUGGCAAUUACAUU
rnacentral:lncRNA from 1 species